rnacentral:lncRNA from 1 species
CUGUGUGAGCCCAAACCUGAUACCAGGUGUCUCUUGUGACAUGCACUUUUACUGUAGAAUAACAGCAGAGGCUUUGGUAAUGUGGGCACAGCUUGGACAUGGAGGCCCCAGCACUAAUGGUCCCCAAUUUCGCCUUACAAGGGUUUAACAUAAAUGAAGACAAGCAUUGUUGUGGGAUUUCUCUUGGAAAAUAUUGGUAGUAUACCUCUGAGGACUGCAUGCUUUGUUAAAUUAACUGUAAAAAUUGCAUGUGUCACUAAACACCUGGAUCACAGGAGGGAGAAAGGUGAGGAGACACUGAGCUGUUCUGCAGCUCAUUUGGAUUGUGUCAGUAGGCAGGAAGGUGAGCCAGUCCAUCAAGGGAUCUCUGGAGUUCUUGGGACAUGAUGAUGAGGUGAGCGAAACAGCAAAGUUCAAAUGCUAUUUCUAAUUCUCCUCAAACUUUCUGAUAAUUGAAAUGCAAACUUUAUUCUUGUAUCAUCUGAAGUUACCACAAUAAACUGGACCAAGG